AGUUCUAUAGCACAUAGUGGUCUGUGCGCUUGGCUCAUAACCAAGAGGAUGCUGGUUCGACUCCAGUUGGAACUA
rnacentral:tRNA from 2 species